AUUCAAAAUUGUAUUCCGUUAAAAACUUUUCGAACUUUUUUUCGAUACGAUUCGCCAAAUUAUUAAAAAAUUUGAAAAAAAUUAUACCAUUUUAAUAGUUAUAGUAUUUAACACUGACAAUGGCGAGUAGUAAAAUCUGGAAAACGGUUAUUGGAGCAUUUGUGAAAAAAGCAGUAUCACCAGCUAAUAAGGGAAAAGCAACAGAAACUCAAUCGCAGGAAGCAAAAUCUCAAAUGUCGAUUACGAAACUUAAUGCUUUAAGAAAUAAAAACGAGGCUGCACAAACCACCCAAGCAGAAGCACAACGUCUCGAUGAUGUGUACUUUCAGAAUAUAAAUGUGUCAAAGAAAACAGCUGGUCAAACAGUUGCAGAGUACACCGAAGCCGAACGUUUAAAGCAUGAGUCAACAGAUAGUAAUUACUCUUCAAACAAAAUGCCGAAUUAUUCUAAACCACAAUCCACUACUAAGUAUAGAGGUUCCAGACGAAGGAGUAUAUCCGUAAAAUAUUCAGCCAAUAUGAAUGCUCCUUUUACGCCUGGACCUCGUAAACGUUGUUCCAUAUGUGAAGAUAGAGCUCCUAAGAAACCAAAUGUAAAAAUUGAAACCAAAGAUGAAGAUGAAAACUAGAAAAAUAGUCCUGGUUUUCCUCUAAAAAGGAAGACACAAACACAUACAAUUCAACAUGCAGCGAUGAGACACUAAACUGGUUUCUCUGGAGUGUUCCACAUAUUUUAAAAAUGGGCUCUUUUUAAAUCCUCUCGAAUACAUAAAACUUGUUAUUCAUUUGAAGGGCUAUCAUGAACUCUAAUUGGUUGAGUGACAGUGGAGCAAAGUUAUGAAUUUUCUAAGGAUUUUUGAAUAUGAAUACCAACAAACAUAUCAAUCCAUCUUGGAGAGUAACGAAGCCCUUCGAAUACCGCAAACAGUAAUGGGCCAAAAAUUCAACCAAUGCAUGACGGUAAUUGAAUAUAAUAAGUGCAAACUCUUCCAGUUUUGGAUCUUAUUGUAGAGGGAACAUUCACAAACAAAAUGGAGCCAGAAUUCAAAAUCAGAGACAGAAUUCGGUAAAUCAGAGAGAACCCUUCCCUUACAGGAUCCAUACCUCAUCAGAAAGUAGCUAGAAAAUAGCCUUGCAUAUUUUAAUGAAACCAACAUCCAGGACAUAUUUGUAUGUUACCCAUUCAUUCCGUCUAGUCAUCUAUAAAUGCAUGCUCCUUAAGACAUCUGGAGUGCAUCCGAUGAGAAAUUUCUAUAUCUAAUUACAUCAACGUACAGGACAAAUUCGUGUGUUGCUCUGAAGUUUCUGAUGCAUUCCAUCAAGCCUUCCAUAUAGACAUCAUGCGUUCAUUUGGUAGUAAUCUGCAGUCACCUCUACUAAGCAUUCCGUAUGUCAUGAACAAUUAUCGUGUGUCGACCUAACCUCAAAUCAAGGUUUCGUGCUUCCUUAAAUAUUAAGAAUGCACCCAACGAAGGAUUUCUAAUGAAAUCAACGUCCAGCACGAAUUCAUGUGAUACCCAACGAAUUUCUUUUUGUUUUUCAGCUAGCUAGUGGUUUUUCAAUCACUAUCUAAUAUUGAUCCGGCCACACUUAUAUUCCUUAUAUCAUGUUUAGUUAUAUAAUUUAUCCGAAACAGUGGCUUACUUCUGUUGACUUGUGUGAUAUCGCUUUUCUUCAAAUCGAGGCUUUUUUUUCCUUAAACGCUUUAAGUGCAUCCGAUAAUAUAUUUCUGUAAACUGCCAAUUAUGUAAGCAGUAUCACAGCAUUAAGCAGCAAUAUGGAUACAAUUAUAGACUUAACUAUUUCGUAUAUUAAUGCAAUCGUCCCAUAAGCUAAAGAAACAACAAACACAUCACUGUAUAUACUCAAUAUAUUACAACUACUCAGUCCCCAAUCACUCCGUAACAACAGUCGAAGCGAAGUUAAAAUGGUUGAAUGGCACCAUAGUAACAUCAAGUGCUGAAUAAAACACAUACUUUCUUCCAUGUUCAGACUCAGAAUUCGGUUAUAGAUCUGAGUAUUGUACCAACGAUUCAAUACUAGAGUGUGUAUUAUACGAUAAGUAUCCGUUUUGAUAUCAUUUUAAAACAUCAACAGCAACAUUUCAAGAAACAUCAACACCACAGCUGCAAACCAUAUCCAUCAGCUUUAAACCUUUUCGUUGAAGCUUCAAUCGUAAUCAACCUUCAACCAGAUAGAUAACUUAUUCGCAUUAAGACAACAAUUAACAGGUUCCAAUAACAGAUUAAAUUAACACGUCGC